rnacentral:rRNA from 1 species
UACGUAGGGUGCGAGCGUUAAUCGGAAUUACUGGGCGUAAAGCGUGCGCAGGCGGUUCGUUAAGUCAGAUGUGAAAGCCCGGGCUCAACCUGGGAACUGCAUUUGAAACUGGCGGGCUUGAGUGUGGCAGAGGGGGGUGGAAUUCCGCGUGUAGCAGUGAAAUGCGUAGAGAUGCGGAGGAACACCGAUGGCGAAGGCAGCCCCCUGGGCUGACACUGACGCUCAGGCACGAAAGCGUGGGGAGCAAACAGG